GGCGGACGGGUGAGUAACAUUUAGGAAUCUGCCUAGUAGUGGGGGAUAGCUCGGGGAAACUCGAAUUAAUACCGCAUACGACCUACGGGUGAAAGGGGGCGCAAGCUCUUGCUAUUAGAUGAGCCUAAAUCAGAUUAGCUAGUUGGUGGGGUAAAGGCCCACCAAGGCGACGAUCUGUAACUGGUCUGAGAGGAUGAUCAGUCACACCGGAACUGAGACACGGUCCGGACUCCUACGGGAGGCAGCAGUGGGGAAUAUUGGACAAUGGGGGCAACCCUGAUCCAGCCAUGCCGCGUGUGUGAAGAAGGCCUUUUGGUUGUAAAGCACUUUAAGCAGGGAGGAGAGGCUAAUGGUUAAUACCCAUUAGAUUAGACGUUACCUGCAGAAUAAGCACCGGCUAACUCUGUGCCAGCAGCCGCGGUAAUACAGAGGGUGCGAGCGUUAAUCGGAAUUACUGGGCGUAAAGCGAGUGUAGGUGGCUCAUUAAGUCACAUGUGAAAUCCCCGGGCUUAACCUGGGAACUGCAUGUGAUACUGGUGGUGCUAGAAUAUGUGAGAGGGAAGUAGAAUUCCAGGUGUAGCGGUGAAAUGCGUAGAGAUCUGGAGGAAUACCGAUGGCGAAGGCAGCUUCCUGGCAUAAUAUUGACACUGAGAUUCGAAAGCGUGGGUAGCAAACAGGAUUAGAUACCCUGGUAGUCCACGCCGUAAACGAUGUCUACUAGCCGUUGGGGUCCUUGAGACUUUAGUGGCGCAGUUAACGCGAUAAGUAGACCGCCUGGGGAGUACGGCCGCAAGGUUAAAACUCAAAUGAAUUGACGGGGGCCCGCACAAGCGGUGGAGCAUGUGGUUUAAUUCGAUGCAACGCGAAGAACCUUACCUGGUCUUGACAUAGUGAGAAUCCUGCAGAGAUGCGGGAGUGCCUUCGGGAAUUCACAUACAGGUGCUGCAUGGCUGUCGUCAGCUCGUGUCGUGAGAUGUUGGGUUAAGUCCCGCAACGAGCGCAACCCUUUUCCUUAUUUGCCAGCGGGUUAAGCCGGGAACUUUAAGGAUACUGCCAGUGACAAACUGGAGGAAGGCGGGGACGACGUCAAGUCAUCAUGGCCCUUACGACCAGGGCUACACACGUGCUACAAUGGUAGGUACAGAGGGUUGCUACACAGCGAUGUGAUGCUAAUCUCAAAAAGCCUAUCGUAGUCCGGAUUGGAGUCUGCAACUCGACUCCAUGAAGUCGGAAUCGCUAGUAAUCGCAGAUCAGAAUGCUGCGGUGAAUACGUUCCCGGGCCUUG
rnacentral:rRNA from 1 species